rnacentral:rRNA from 1 species
GUCUUUUUGUAAGUAUAAAGAGUCCGGUCUGCCCACUGAUGAGUAUAUUAAAGGGCCGCAGUAUUUUAACUGUGCAAAGGUAGCAUAAUCACUAGUUCUUUAAUUGAGAUCUUGAAUGAAUGAUUAGACAAAAAAAUUACUGUCUUUAUGAUAAUAAUUGAAUUUAACUUUUAAGUGAAAAGGCUUAAAUAGUUUGAAGUGACGAUAAGACCCUAUAAAGCUUAAUAUUAUUAUAAAAUUUUUGGUAAGUUAAAUGUAAAGUUUUAAGGUUUAUUAAUAUUUUAUUGGGGCGAUAGAAAUAAAAAGUUUGAUAACUGUUUUUCUUUUAAUCAAAUAUAAAUGGUUAGUAUAUAAAUGAUCUUGUUUUAUAGAGUAAAAGAUUAAGUUACUUUAGGGAUAACAGCGUUAUUUUUCUUGAGAGUUCUUAUCGAAAGAAAAGAUUGCGACCUCGAUGUUGAAUUAAAAUAUCUAUAUAAUUGUAGCGGUUAUAUAAGAAGGUCUGUUCGACCUUUAAAUUUUUACGUGAUUUGAGUUCAGACCGGUUUAAACCAGGUCGGUUUCUAUCUUUUAAUUAAAUUGUAAUUAUUUUA